CUGUAUCCAUCGUAAAUCUCAUAACCCUCUGAUCUUGGCUCCUUUACAUCGUAAUGCUUGUUGGAUGUACAUCUUCCACUGAUCUCGGCGCCUUUACUAGCGACCUAGUUGGUGGGUAUCCAUCGUAAAUCUCAUAACCCUCUGUGAUUUACUUCUUGCUGGCAUUGUCAACAUAGUGAGAUUUUAUCUCAAACCUGAGUCCAUCAAACUUUAGCUUACAAAUUUAACAUUUCGACCACAAAAAAAAUUUAGCUUAACA
rnacentral:lncRNA from 1 species